CCUACGGGAGGCUGCAGUCGAGAAUUUUUCUCAAUGGGGGAAACCCUGAAGGAGCGACGCCGCGUAGAGGAUGAAGGUCUUCGGGUUGUAAACUCCUGUCAUUUGGGAACAAUGCGCAAAUAUUAACUGUAUUUGCGUUGAUAGUACCAGAAGAGGAAGGGACGGCUAACUCUGUGCCAGCAGCCGCGGUAAUACAGAGGUCCCAAGCGUUGUUCGGAUUCAUUGGGCGUAAAGGGUGCGUAGGCGGCGCGGUAAGUCGGGUGUGAAAUCUCGGGGCUUAACUCCGAAACUGCAUUCGAUACUGCCGUGCUUGAGGACUGGAGAGGAGACUGGAAUUUACGGUGUAGCGGUGAAAUGCGUAGAUAUCGUAAGGAAGACCAGUGGCGAAGGCGGGUCUCUGGACAGUUCCUGACGCUGAGGCACGAAGGCCAGGGGAGCAA
rnacentral:rRNA from 1 species